rnacentral:tRNA from 1 species
GGAGGCGUGGCAGAGUGGUUUAAUGCACCGGUCUUGAAAACCGACGUGGGGCAGCCCACCGUGGGUUCGAAUCCCACCGCCUCCGCCA